UCCAAACCCUUAUGUGAACAUACCUACUGUUGCUUCGGCGGACUCGCCCCGGCGUCCGGACGGCCUCGCGCCGCCCGCGGCCCGGACCCAGGCGGCCGCCGGAGACCCCCAAACUCUGUAUUAUCAGCAUUUUCUGAAUCCGCCGCAAGGCAAAACAAAUGAAUCAAAACUUUCAACAACGGAUCUCUUGGUUCUGGCAUCGAUGAAGAACGCAGCGAAAUGCGAUAAGUAAUGUGAAUUGCAGAAUUCAGUGAAUCAUCGAAUCUUUGAACGCACAUUGCGCCCGCCAGCAUUCUGGCGGGCAUGCCUGUUCGAGCGUCAUUUCAACCCUCGACUUCCCUUUGGGGAAAUCGGCGUUGGGGAACGGCAGCAUACCGCCGGCCCCGAAAUGAAGUGGCGGCCCGUCCGCGGCGACCUCUGCGUAGUAAUCCAACUCGCACCGGAACCCCGACGUGGCCACGCCGUAAAACACCCAACUUCUGAACGUUGACCUCGGAUCAGGUAGGAAUACCCGCUGAACUUAAGCAUAUCAAUAAGCGGAGGAA
rnacentral:rRNA from 1 species